GUGAAAAGCGAAUGAGAACACUCCCCUCAGUUGGACUCGACUUCAUGCACAAAAAUGAGGACUUGUGUCUUGACGUAUUUAAACGUUACUACCUAAAGAGUCUCGAGUUUUUGAGGCAAAAUCCUGGAGAAAUUGUGAGAAAACCGCUAGGAAAAGCUGAGACACUUGAUGCUCACGUGGAUGGAUGAAGCCACUAGCCUGGAAGCUAUCGAUGAGCCCAGUGUGUGAAAGUCAUGACUGGAUUCAACCACUAGAGGGACCUGGGGCAAAAUGAAUUCUGGGCGCCUACUGACCUUAUGUUGGCAUGUGAAAGAUCCAGAUUAGGCCGGCACAUGUGGAGUGCAGCGCAUUCAUCAGAGCUGUUCUGCCUACACACAGGUGCCGACUGCUGCUGGAAACUAGGUUGAUGAAAGCAGAACGUGCACGCCAGAAAACCCAAAGAAAAACCUCCAUAGUGCUCGUCUGACACAAGUCGGGUUCACAGCAAGCCACCAUUUUCUGGUGUGUCUCGUGUUAUUCAUUUGAUGCACUGUUAACAUAAAAGCAUUAAACGUUUACUUUGCCAUAUUAACCAUUUCUAACUUUUUAUUUUCUGAUUUUGAAUAAGCGGUGUUGAAGUGCUUUGUGGUGCAUUCCUCUCGACCUGACUUGAUGGACAUCUCCUCUAAAUGACAGUUUUGACUUGUUGUUGUCACU